CGUGAUGACUGCAACUCCUAGCCUCCUGCCUGCUCGGCUUCACCUGAGCUAACAGUCUAAUCCCCGGUCAGUGAACACCACCUGAGACCGUUGAGCGGUUCCACUCACACAUCGGAUGAAUAACACGCUUUGAUGUUCUGCUUGUUCUCCUGACGGACAAGUUAAAGACGUCUGCGCUCCCGUUUCUGUGUGUUCCUCUAGGAUGUCCAACAUGGAAUCCAACCAGACUGAACACUGAGUCAUCACUUCAACACUGACUCCAGGGCAGAAGCCUGCUUCUCCUGAGACAUGAUCCAAGGAGAUUGGUGAAGUGUCCGGCAGAACCCCAGAGACUCUCUGUGAGGUCAAGUGCAGUGCCUGGCGACAACACUAAACGAAAGGUGGAAUUUGAAAACAGGAGUUUUCAAGACAGGUGGGAGGCACAGUAUAUGUUCGCGGAUGUAAAGGGCAAAGCUGUGUGUCUUGUGUGCGGAGACGGUGCGGCUGUAAUGUCAGAAUACAACAUAAGAAGACACCAUGAAACGAAGCACAAAGACAGAUACAAGCAUCUGGACAUGACACAAAGGCUACAGAAGGUAGAGGAGUUAAAAAGAAGUCGGUGUCACAGCAGGCUAUGUUCACUAAAGCCAAAUCACAAAGCGGGGCCGUGUCAUCACUGACAUGUACGCUACAGUGAGGGCUUUUAAAACCAAGCUGUGGGAGACGCAGAUACUGCAGAUAGAGCCAUAAGCAGUUAAUGCACCUGCUUUUAUAACUCUUAUAUUUAUUUAUGUAUUAUGUAUUAUUUAUAUUUAAUUUAUUUCCUAAUUAAUGUUGUUUUAUCGGCAAUACUCUAUAGGCCUUGUUAGGUCCAGGUUCAAUAUGUGCACUAAGGUUCUUUCAAUAAGUUUUCAAUAAACGUUGAACCCUUCUGGCCCUUGACUGCUCACGGAGCAGCAAACAAUGCUUUGACGCAUUUUCUGUUUUUAAUGCAGUUUCAUUUUUGCAUUCUUGCAUUUUUUUUCUCUUGCUACUACGGGACAUUAGAUUUUUCUUUGAAGUAAAUUAUUUUUGGCUGUUUGCCUGUAGAAAAUGUUUUCACUUGAACUAACUCUGGAAAUACUGCAGAUAGAGCUAUAAGCAAUUCAUGAAACUGAUUUUAUUACUUUUAUAUUUAUUUAUGUAUUAUUUCUAUUUCAUUUAUUUAAUAAUUAAUGUUGUUUUAUCGGCCAUUCUCUAUACAGGCCUUGUGA